UACGUAGGGGGCAAGCGUUGUCCGGAAUCAUUGGGCGUAAAGCGCGUGUAGGCGGCCCGAUAAGUCCGCUGUGAAAGUCCAGGGCUCAACCCUGGGAUGCCGGUGGAUACUGUCGGGCUCGAGUCCGGAAGAGGCGAGUGGAAUUCCUGGUGUAGCGGUGAAAUGCGCAGAUAUCAGGAGGAACACCAAUGGCGAAGGCAGCUCACUGGGACGGUAUUGACGCUGAGACGCGAAAGCGUGGGGAGCAAACAGG
rnacentral:rRNA from 1 species